rnacentral:rRNA from 1 species
UACGUAGGGCGCAAGCGUUGUCCGGAAUUAUUGGGCGUAAAGGGCGCGUAGGCGGCGGGGUAAGUCGGGUGUGAAAUCUCAGAGCUCAACUCUGAAAUGGCACUUGAUACUGCUCUGCUAGAGGACUGGAGAGGAGAUUGGAAUUCACGGUGUAGCAGUGAAAUGCGUAGAUAUCGUGAGGAAGACCGGUGGCGAAGGCGGAUCUCUGGACAGUUCCUGACGCUGAGGCGCGAAGGCCAGGGGAGCAAACGGG